UAGGGAAUCUUCGGCAAUGGGGGGAACCCUGACCGAGCAACGCCGCGUGAGUGAAGAAGGUUUUCGGAUCGUAAAGCUCUGUUGUUAAGGAAGAACGAGUGUGAGAAUGGAAAGUUCAUGCUGUGACGGUACUUAACCAGAAAGGGACGGCUAACUACGUGCCAGCAGCCGCGGUAAUACGUAGGUCCCGAGCGUUGUCCGGAUUUAUUGGGCGUAAAGCGAGCGCAGGCGGUUAGAAAAGUCUGAAGUGAAAGGCAGUGGCUCAACCAUUGUAGGCUUUGGAAACUGUUUAACUUGAGUGCAGAAGGGGAGAGUGGAAUUCCAUGUGUAGCGGUGAAAUGCGUAGAUAUAUGGAGGAACACCGGUGGCGAAAGCGGCUCUCUGGUCUGUAACUGACGCUGAGGCUCGGAAGCGUGGGGAGCGAACAGG
rnacentral:rRNA from 1 species